ACUGUCAAUGCGGUGGUAUAGAGGUUGGGUGAGAACUGGACGUGUUGCAUCAUUAUCAAGCAGACCCAUCCCCAGCAACGUCAACCUAAAGAAGGAAAGGUCGGUUUGCAUUUCCUUCACGCUCGAAGGUCAAAGGAGAUCAUAACGUAAAACGUGUCAUGCGACGGGGUAGAGGUUGGGUGAGGACGACACGUGUUGCAUCAUCAAGCUGGUACAAUAGCCGCAAGGCUUAAGAGGUGGGUAAGGGUGAACAAAAGUCGUAUAAAAGGAGAGAGAAAAGGCGUCUGAAAUUAGUUGAGAGAGCAUCUCCGACACGGCAAGAACUGCUGUACACCAUUUGUCACCAAUUGCAUUCUUCAAUGCAAUUAGUUCGCAAUCAUAAUAAACUAUGGCGUCCUGCUGUUGGGUGUUGAAUCGUUGACGGUUAGGUCGACCACUGGUGUACCGAUGUCUCCUGGGUAUGGUGGAUAUCAAAGAACAACAUUACUCAACAUCAACCAACAUCGCUGCUAACGCUGCUCCAGCUUACUACACCAAGGCUCCAAAGUACUACACCACCAAGACUUCAGAGUAUUACAAGUUGCAUCAAAGAAGAGAAAAGGCGAAAUAAUCAGUCGAGUGAUUAUCUCCGACACGACAACAACUGCUGUGCACUUUUUCUCUAAAUCGCAAUCUUGCAUCAAAGAAUAGUAAAGGCGAAAUAAUCAGUCGAUUUAUUAUCUCCGACUCCGACACGACAACAACUUCCGUGCACUAUUUGUCAUCAAUGCCUUCUUCAUCGUAUGUAGGGCAAACUGUGGCGUCGUUAUGCUAUUGGUUGUUGUCCUGAAAUACUACAUCACCGAGGCUUGGCUUCAAAGUAUUACGCUACAACUUAUGCUCCCCCGAGCUGCAUAACCAAAGAGCCCGAGUACUGCAUCGUGAUUCCAUUUUUUUUAAGCAAAAUCUAUUGGGUAUUAAUUUUGAUAUUGGUUGUUUGUUGACCCAUCCCCGGCAACGUCAACCUGCAGAAGGAAAGGCCAGUUUGCAUGUCUUCACUUUCGAAGGUCACGGAGACCAUUACGUAAUACUGUCAAUGCGGCGGUGUAGAGUUUGGGUGAGAAUGGGAAGUGUUUGCUUUAUUAUCAAGCAGGUAUAAUAGCCGCAGGGCUUACGAGAGGGGUCAGGGUGAGAAAAGUCGUAUGAAAGGAGAGAGAAAAGGCGUUAGAAAUCAGUUGAGUGAGGAUCUCCGACACGUCAACAAAUGCCGUGCACUAUUUGUCACCAACUACCUUCUUCAUCGCAUAACCAGUUCGCAAUCACGGUUUAGAUAACUAUGGCGCCGUGCUGCUGUUUUGUGUUGAAUCGUUAAUGGUUGGGUCGACCAUGGGUGUACAGAAGUCUCCUGGACGUGAUGGAUACCAAGCAACAGCAGCGAAAGAAUACUACACCACGCCGCCGCCUUACUAAAGUCAACAUACGCAACAUCUACUUACUACGCCGAGCCCCCAAGUGCUACACCACUAAGACUCAAGAGCUACGCAACAAAUUACGCUGAACCGAGUUGCAUUUACCAAAGCGCCUGAGUACUACACCAACGAGUAUACUGUCCCAGCCUGCUACACCAAAGUCCCCAAGUAUUACACGACUACGAAUGUUGCCCCAGUCUACUACACCGAGGCUCCAGCUUAUUUCAAUACCAAAGCGGUCGAGUACUACACCGAACCGCACAAGUACUACUCUGCCCCGAACUACACAACCACAACUGAGGCGGCGGAGUACACAGCAGCUGCUCCUUCGUACUAUGUUGAACUGAAAUAAUACCCCGAGGCUCCAGUUUACUACACCGCAACCCACGCUACACCUAGAUACUAUGACGAAGCCUCCAACUACUACACCGAAGAGGCCACAUAUUACACAACAACGUACACUGCCCCAGUUUACUAAGCUGAGGAUCCGAAGAAUUACUUUGCUCUAAGCUACUACCAAUCUGAGACUCUUGUUUACUACACCGAGGCCACUGGGUAUUACACUACAACCACAUGUUAACUACGGCGUCUUGCUGCUGUUGGUUGUGUUAUCCUCGAUGGUUGGGUCGGCCACUGAUGUCUUUUGAGUAUGGUGGAUACCAAACCGCAACGCCGGCGUCUUACUACACAACAACAUACGCAACAACCGGAUAUCACACCACCAAGGCCCCAGAGUGUUACACCGCAACUUAUGAUGUUCUGGACUGCUACAUCGAAGCCCUAAAGUAUAACUCUGCCACGAGUUACACCACCAAGGCACCGGGGUACUACACGACUACGUAUGCUGCCCCAGUCUUUUACACCGAUGCUCCCAAGUACUUCUCGGUUUCCAGCUACUACACCGAGGCUCCAGCUUAUUACGCCACCAAAGCGGUCCAAUACUACACUGUAGCGCCCUAGUACUACUCUGCACUAAUUACUACGAAUUACUACACAGCGGCUGCUCCCUCGUACUACGUUGGACCGAAAUACUACACUGAGGCUCAAGUUUACUACACUACAAUCCACGCUGCCCUCAACUACCAUACCGAGGCUCCGCUCCCAUACCGAUGUUCCAAAGUACUACACAACCAAGACACCCGAGUAUUAUAUCGCUACUUAAGCUGCUCUAACCUGCUGCACCGAAGCUGCGAAGUAUUCCACCGCCCCGAGUUACUACACCAUCAAGGUACCCCUGGAUAUUGCAUCACAACCUAAGCUUCUCCAGUUCACUAAAAGGAUGUUCUAAAAUACUAGAGUCAAAAUUUCUGACUUAGUUAUUUGUGUUCAAAUUUGUCGGUCGUAUCCUAAUAGUUACUAAAUGAGAAAAUACAUAUUUAAAUGGUA
rnacentral:lncRNA from 1 species